CCUACGGGAGGCAGCAGUAGGGAAUAUUGCUCAAUGGGGGAAACCCUGAAGCAGCAACGCCGCGUGGAGGAUGAAGGUUUUCGGAUUGUAAACUCCUUUUGUUAGAGAAGAUAAUGACGGUAUCUAACGAAUAAGCACCGGCUAACUCCGUGCCAGCAGCCGCGGUAAUACGGAGGGUGCAAGCGUUACUCGGAAUCACUGGGCGUAAAGGGCGCGUAGGCGGGAUAGCAAGUCAGAUGUGAAAUCCUAUGGCUUAACCAUAGAACUGCAUUUGAAACUGUUAUUCUAGAGUAUGGGAGAGGUAGGUGGAAUUCUUGGUGUAGAGGUAAAAUCCGUAGAGAUCAAGAAGAAUACUCAUUGCGAAGGCGACCUGCUAGAACAUAACUGACGCUGAUGCGCGAAAGCGUGGGGAGCAAACAGGAUUAGAUACCCUAGUAGUC
rnacentral:rRNA from 1 species